rnacentral:rRNA from 1 species
AUUGAACGCUGGCGGCAGGCCUAACACAUGCAAGUCGAGCGGGGUUUUCGGACCUAGCGGCGGACGGGUGAGUAAUGCGUAGGAAGCUACCCGAUAGAGGGGGAUACCAGUUGGAAACGACUGUUAAUACCGCAUAAUGUCUACGGACCAAAGUGUGGGACCUUCGGGCCACAUGCUAUCGGAUGCGCCUACGUGGGAUUAGCUAGUUGGUGAGGUAAUGGCUCACCAAGGCGACGAUCCCUAGCUGGUUUGAGAGGAUGAUCAGCCACACUGGAACGGAGACACGGUCCAGACUCCUACGGGAGGCAGCAGUGGGGAAUAUUGGACAAUGGGCGCAAGCCUGAUCCAGCCAUGCCGCGUGUGUGAAGAAGGCCUUCGGGUUGUAAAGCACUUUCAGUUGGGAGGAAGGGUUGUGUGUUAAUAGUACACAGCCUUGACGUUACCAACAGAAGAAGCACCGGCUAACUCUGUGCCAGCCGCCGCCGUAAGAC